CACACCAUUGGGUGCGUCUCUGAAAGUUUUCAGAGGGGUUUAGAUGAAGCGGAAAGACCACUCUGAAUAUGGGUAGCAUGGCUCCACCAGGCUGGUGUCCUGGACUGAAUAAUAAUGAGAAUGUGAGCAGUGCACCAGCAUCCAUUACUCUCUGCUUCCCGACUGUGGAUACAAUGUAUCCAGCUGCCUCCAGCUGCUGCCCCAGUCAAAUACAAAUACCUUCAAAAGUGAGCCCAAAUACCAGCUUUUCUCUCUGAACCCCCUUUCUGUUCAGUAAGUUUGUCAUAGGAUUGAGAAAAGUAAGCAGCAUAAAACCUGAAUGAAGCAAGCAAAGGGACUCUGACAGACCACGCCCACUCAGGUCUCACACAGCCGCUGGCUAAUAAAGCUCUGGGUGGCUCAAGAAGCCCAAAGGUAGACUCAGUCCCUCAUCAACCUUAGGAUGCAGAUCAGAACGACACAGCCCAGUGGUUCCAAGAGAGCCAGUGUCAGCACCAAACAGACUGUCCGGGCGUUUUCUCUCUCUUCUGAAAGCCACAGGCUGACUCUCUCUCAACCACCAUUGUGACAUGAUGACGGGUGGAUCAAGUCCUCCCAGCAAGCAGGGCAGCAGGAUACAAACAGCAUAGCCCUCCUUUCAACAACAAAUAUCAGUGGACCCAUCUGGAAGGGCAGGCAGCCUCACCCAAGGGUGGUGACAACCCAGACAUCACGCAAACCUCUCUCUCUCUGUCCCAGACUUGUUAGGCAAUAGGUUAGCUCUGAGAGGAACUGACCAAUGACACCCCAAAAGGAAGAUAUGAAGAACAAUAGGAGAUAGUGGUAGACUCAAGCCGGGUCAGCUCAAACUGGCUUCAGGGACUUUCUCAUCAGGAGAGCAGGUGGAGAGAGAGAGAGCUCCGUUACCUUUUUCUUUCCUUUCCUUUCCUUUCCUUUCCUUUCCUUUCCUUUCCUUUCCUUUCCUUUCCUUUCCUUUCCUUUCCUUUUUUCUUUCCUUUCCUUUUCUUUCUUUCUUUCUUUCUUUCUUUCUUUCUUUCUUUCUUUCUUUCUUUCUUUCUUUCUUUCUUUCUUUUUUAGCCCUUCCUACCUUAGUUUGCUUCAAACACACACACACACACACACACACACACACACACACACACACACACACACACACACAGAAAACCUGUAACAGCAAAAUCCCUUUUAUUUUGUGGAUUUGAAGAAAAGGCCUCUUUCUUCCUUUAAGGUCACAUUACAGUUGCCUAUAGCCACGAUGCUGUUGUCUUUCCUGAUGGUCCAGGGACUGAAGAAUCUGUUCCUUCCUCCAAGGCCCCUGCCAAGCUCUAUAAGGCGGCCAUCUUUCCCAGUGAGGCUGCUCCUUGGACCUGAAGGCCUGCUCUCUUGCGUCUGGGCCCCGUUUUGGAAUAAUUCUGAAGGGGCUGAGAGGUCCGAAGAGGCACAGAGAUCUCAGUUCUGGGAAUGAGUCACUCUUCUCAACUAGCAUUUACAUUUCCACCUCAAUCCAUCCGGGCUUAAGCAUCAGGAGGGUGGAUGCUUCUAUGCAAUCGAUCUGGUCUAGAAUCUGCAUUUGGAUCUUUCUCACCUUUAGAAGACAGGACUCAAGAUGCCUGGAGCUCCUUCACAUUUAUCAGGUCGUAACUUGAUGUGAGACAUUGGAAUGAAAAAUGUGAGUGGCCAGACACCAGGACUUAAGAAUGUUUGUGCUGCAAAAACAUCACCGAAACGAGUGAACUUUGCAACAACCCAUUGUCUCAAGAUUUUCAAGAUUCCCCUUAUUCAAAAUCUUCCCCUCUUCCAACCAUAUAAAGGAUAAAUACA